GAUCUACUCCCUCUGUUCCAUAAUUCUUGUCAAAAUAUUACAUGUAUCUAGACGCUUUUUAGGAAUAGAUACAUUCAUAUUUGGGUAAAUUUAAGACAAGAAUUAUGAAACGGAGGGAGUAGUUU
rnacentral:pre_miRNA from 1 species